rnacentral:lncRNA from 1 species
GGUCGAGCACAGGAGCGAGAGAAAAAUCCUCCAUCUUCGCGCGAGCGCCUCCAUCUCGUUGGUUACUCUUCCAUCCUCGCACGAGAAGGGCUAGGGCUUCUGUUUGGCGGCCGUGGAGAUCUGUCGUCCGAUCUCACAGGUCGAACACAGAGAGGGAGAAAGGAGUAGUCCUCCAUCCUCUCCAGCCCUCCUCCACCAUCGUGCCAGC